GCUCGCUUCGGCGAGCACAUGUACUAAAAUUGUGAAUGAUACAGAGGAGAUUAGCAUGACCCUGGCACAAGAAUGACACAUAAAUUCGUGAAGCGUUAUGUAGUAAA